AGAACAGAAAGCUAAGGCAAAGGAGGGAGGAUGCUGUGGUCAUCCUUUCUUGUUUUUUUCUUCUUUAAUGAGGAUAGAGCACAUGUGAGAUUUUACUUUCUACUCCAGUAAAAAUUCUGAAGAAUUGCAUUGGAGACUGUUAUAUUCAACACAUACGUGGAUUCUGUGUUAUGAUUUACAUUUUUCUUUAUUUCAGUUACAGAAUCCUCUUGGGGCUUUCUUAGAGCCAAUCUCCUCUAAGGUGAAUGCAUUUUCUUGCAUUCACCUGUCAUGAAAUGGCAGUGGGAAGCCUUGAAGAAGGCACAGGCGUUGCACUUUCUUAUGCAAGGAGCUAAACAGUGAUUAAAGGAGCAGGAUGAAAAGAUGGCACAGUCAGUGCUGGUACCGCCAGGACCUGACAGCUUCCGCUUCUUUACCAGGGAAUCCCUUGCUGCUAUUGAACAACGCAUUGCAGAAGAGAAAGCUAAGAGACCCAAACAGGAACGCAAGGAUGAGGAUGAUGAAAAUGGCCCAAAGCCAAACAGUGACUUGGAAGCAGGAAAAUCUCUUCCAUUUAUUUAUGGAGACAUUCCUCCAGAGAUGGUGUCAGUGCCCCUGGAGGAUCUGGACCCCUUCUAUAUCAAUAAGAAAACGUUUAUAGUAUUGAAUAAAGGGAAAGCAAUCUCUCGAUUCAGUGCCACCCCUGCCCUUUACAUUUUAACUCCCUUCAACCCUAUUAGAAAAUUAGCUAUUAAGAUUUUGGUACAUUCUUUAUUCAAUAUGCUCAUUAUGUGCACGAUUCUUACCAACUGUGUAUUUAUGACCAUGAGUAACCCUCCAGACUGGACAAAGAAUGUGGAGUAUACCUUUACAGGAAUUUAUACUUUUGAAUCACUUAUUAAAAUACUUGCAAGGGGCUUUUGUUUAGAAGAUUUCACAUUUUUACGGGAUCCAUGGAAUUGGUUGGAUUUCACAGUCAUUACUUUUGCAUAUGUGACAGAGUUUGUGGACCUGGGCAAUGUCUCAGCGUUGAGAACAUUCAGAGUUCUCCGAGCAUUGAAAACAAUUUCAGUCAUUCCAGGCCUGAAGACCAUUGUGGGGGCCCUGAUCCAGUCAGUGAAGAAGCUUUCUGAUGUCAUGAUCUUGACUGUGUUCUGUCUAAGCGUGUUUGCGCUAAUAGGAUUGCAGUUGUUCAUGGGCAACCUACGAAAUAAAUGUUUGCAAUGGCCUCCAGAUAAUUCUUCCUUUGAAAUAAAUAUCACUUCCUUCUUUAACAAUUCAUUGGAUGGGAAUGGUACUACUUUCAAUAGGACAGUGAGCAUAUUUAACUGGGAUGAAUAUAUUGAGGAUAAAAGUCACUUUUAUUUUUUAGAGGGGCAAAAUGAUGCUCUGCUUUGUGGCAACAGCUCAGAUGCAGGCCAGUGUCCUGAAGGAUACAUCUGUGUGAAGGCUGGUAGAAACCCCAACUAUGGCUACACGAGCUUUGACACCUUUAGUUGGGCCUUUUUGUCCUUAUUUCGUCUCAUGACUCAAGACUUCUGGGAAAACCUUUAUCAACUGACACUACGUGCUGCUGGGAAAACGUACAUGAUAUUUUUUGUGCUGGUCAUUUUCUUGGGCUCAUUCUAUCUAAUAAAUUUGAUCUUGGCUGUGGUGGCCAUGGCCUAUGAGGAACAGAAUCAGGCCACAUUGGAAGAGGCUGAACAGAAGGAAGCUGAAUUUCAGCAGAUGCUCGAACAGUUGAAAAAGCAACAAGAAGAAGCUCAGGCGGCAGCUGCAGCCGCAUCUGCUGAAUCAAGAGACUUCAGUGGUGCUGGUGGGAUAGGAGUUUUUUCAGAGAGUUCUUCAGUAGCAUCUAAGUUGAGCUCCAAAAGUGAAAAAGAGCUGAAAAACAGAAGAAAGAAAAAGAAACAGAAAGAACAGUCUGGAGAAGAAGAGAAAAAUGACAGAGUCCGAAAAUCGGAAUCUGAAGACAGCAUAAGAAGAAAAGGUUUCCGUUUUUCCUUGGAAGGAAGUAGGCUGACAUAUGAAAAGAGAUUUUCUUCUCCACACCAGUCCUUACUGAGCAUCCGUGGCUCCCUUUUCUCUCCAAGACGCAACAGUAGGGCGAGCCUUUUCAGCUUCAGAGGUCGAGCAAAGGACAUUGGCUCUGAGAAUGACUUUGCUGAUGAUGAGCACAGCACCUUUGAGGACAAUGACAGCCGAAGAGACUCUCUGUUCGUGCCGCACAGACAUGGAGAACGGCGCCACAGCAAUGUCAGCCAGGCCAGCCGUGCCUCCAGGGUGCUCCCCAUCCUGCCCAUGAAUGGGAAGAUGCAUAGCGCUGUGGACUGCAAUGGUGUGGUCUCCCUGGUCGGGGGCCCUUCUACCCUCACAUCUGCUGGGCAGCUUCUACCAGAGGGCACAACUACUGAAACAGAAAUAAGAAAGAGACGGUCCAGUUCUUAUCAUGUUUCCAUGGAUUUAUUGGAAGAUCCUACAUCAAGGCAAAGAGCAAUGAGUAUAGCCAGUAUUUUGACCAACACCAUGGAAGAUUUUUUUUUUUAUAUUUAGCCUCCAGAAAGCUGCUGCAAAUGUAAGGUAUAUUUUGAACACCACUUUCAUACAUUAAAUUCUAAACAUUGAAACUUGUGUGCAUGACGUUGAAAAGAGUGUAAUGAUAAAUGCUUAUACUUAUGAUGAUGCUAAGCCAUUUGGAUUAUAUUAACUGCUUGAGACACAAGUUAUAAAAUCCUAUGACUUAACCAGAAAUAUAAAUUAAAAAUGUGAAUUAGGGUUUGAUAUUAACUUCCUUGAAGCAAAGUGUUUAAAAUUUUGUAGUCCUACUUUUGCCUUUCUCUGACCAGAUUCUUACAAUAUAUCAGCUUUCUCUUUAGUUGCAGAUUUUAUCUGAAUAGUUAACAUAAUGUUUAGCAGUCUGGAUCUCAGAAUGCCAAAAUAAAGACUUUGGGGACAGCUUAAUCUGUGAUCAAUUUCUGGCUCUGCCAUAUGUUAAAUGUGUUAAUUUGUGACUUUGAAUUUCAGUCUCCUCAUCAGUAAAAUGUGGAUGAUGAUGUUUAGGCAUAAGGUUGUUGAAUGGAUUAAAUAAGCCUUCUUAGAUAAAACACUGAUGUAUUUGGCAUGCAGAAGACAGUUAAUA
rnacentral:sRNA from 1 species